CCUACGGGUUGCAGCAGUGGGGAAUCUUGGACAAUGGGCGCAAGCCUGAUCCAGCCAUGCCGCGUGUGUGAUGAAGGCCUUAGGGUCGUAAAGCACUUUCGCCUGUGAUGAUAAUGACAGUAGCAGGUAAAGAAACCCCGGCUAACUCCGUGCCAGCAGCCGCGGUAAUACGGAGGGGGUUAGCGUUGUUCGGAAUUACUGGGCGUAAAGCGCGCGUAGGCGGACAUUUAAGUCAGAGGUGAAAUCCCGGGGCUCAACCCCGGAACGGCCUUUGAUACUGGGUGUCUUGAGUUCGAGAGAGGUGAGUGGAAUUCCGAGUGUAGAGGUGAAAUUCGUAGAUAUUCGGAGGAACACCAGUGGCGAAGGCGGCUCACUGGCUCGAUACUGACGCUGAGGUGCGAAAGUGUGGGGAGCAAACAGGAUUAGAUACCCGAGUAGUC
rnacentral:rRNA from 1 species